ensembl:lncRNA
CGGCAGUCUGAAUAAAGGCUGUGAAGUCGUGUCAACAUGGUUUCAGUUAUCCUGCAGGAAAGGAAGCACGUUUUCUUUCUGGCUGCUUCUCUGUGGUCUGACCAGAAACUAACUCAUCCUUAUUCUAGAAAGUGAACCACAACAUGUGGCAACAGAGCCCACAAACAUGAGCUCAUUCCUCUUGAGGGGAAACUAGCAACUGAAAAAAACAGAGAUAGAAAGAGAGAAAGUCCCAGUGUUCCUCUCCACAUCCAUUUGUCUUUGGACUACAUUCCUGCUCCUCUUCCUCAAAUGAAAUGGUUAUCCCUGCAAACAAUGAGAAGACUGAGCUGCAGGAGCAUCUGCAGCAUGUGAAGUGGGACAUGAAACAAAAAUUGGCUCACAAGGUCGAGGUCAACUUCAGCAUCAGCACAUUCUUUGAGCCAAGGCGUUGGAGAGAAAGCAGGCGCGAACUGAAAAUGGCCCUAGUCUCUUCCUAACAUGCUUUUAUUUCCCACAUACUUCGUGAUCAGCAGGCCUCAGUAUGUUAUCAGGUAAUACUGAGACAAACAGCUGCUUACGUGCUGAAAUGUGGAUGUAUUAUUUGAGUAAAGCAUUACACAUGAAUCAGAAGAACAAUACAUUUUGACCAAUAGGCUAACAAUUAAAGUAAACUCAUCAGUAUUAAAAAUACAGCUGG